UGAAUAUGGAUUGAAUCCGGUGUCGGAAGACUUAAUAGAGAAGCUGGUAUAAGCCAGCGCGGUCCCGCCACUGUAACAGGGAGUCAUAUGGCAUUUAGGUCACUGAAAGGGGCAAAGCACUUUCGGGAAGGCGCGAUAUGAUGAUGAACUGGAGCCAGGAGAACUGCCGGAUUGACAAUCACCGCU
rnacentral:ncRNA from 25 species